UACGUAGGGAGCAAGCGUUAUCCGGAUUUAUUGGGUGUAAAGGGUGCGUAGACGGGAUUACAAGUUGGUUGUGAAACCCCUCAGCUCAACUGAGGAACUGCAACCAAAACUACAAUUCUUGAGUGCAGGAGAGGAAAGUGGAAUUCCUAGUGUAGCGGUGAAAUGCGUAGAUACUAGGAAGAACACCGGUGGCGAAGGCGACUUUCUGGACUGUAACUGACGUUGAGGCACGAAAGUGUGGGGAGCAAACAGG
rnacentral:rRNA from 1 species